UAGGGAAUCUUCGGCAAUGGACGAAAGUCUGACCGAGCAACGCCGCGUGAGUGAAGAAGGUUUUCGGAUCGUAAAACUCUGUUGUUAGAGAAGAACAAGGACGUUAGUAACUGAACGUCCCCUGACGGUAUCUAACCAGAAAGCCACGGCUAACUACGUGCCAGCAGCCGCGGUAAUACGUAGGUGGCAAGCGUUGUCCGGAUUUAUUGGGCGUAAAGCGAGCGCAGGCGGUUUCUUAAGUCUGAUGUGAAAGCCCCCGGCUCAACCGGGGAGGGUCAUUGGAAACUGGGAGACUUGAGUGCAGAAGAGGAGAGUGAAAUUCCAUGUGUAGCGGUGAAAUGCGUAGAUAUAUGGAGGAACACCAGUGGCGAAGGCGGCUCUCUGGUCUGUAUCGGACGCUGAGGCUCGAAAGCGUGGGGAGCAAACAGG
rnacentral:rRNA from 1 species